rnacentral:snRNA from 1 species
GUUCUCACUUUGGCAGCACAUCUACUAAAAUUGGAACAAUGCAGAGAAGAUUAGCAUGGCCCCUGCACAAGGAUGACACUCAAAUUCGUGAAACGAUGAAGAUUUCU